CUUCUAGUCCAGGAUUCUGAGAUGACCAAUGUGAGAAUCAUGACCUUCCUCAGUCAGAACAUGAGGCUCCUGUAACUCCACCCUCAUGGUAGUAAUGAGAAGAGGACAUUUCCUAAGUGACGGAUGCCACCUCCUGAGGCGAUACCACCUGAAGAUGUCCAUGGUGCGAGGGAAGGCUGUGCUCACGGUGAAGACUGGCUGAUUACCUAAAGCUUAACUUUCAGGUCGGGUUGGUUGUAAAGAAGGCAAGCUAUCAGUCAGUCAUGUUGUCUCCUCAUCAAAGCUUCCUCGACGAUAUACAACAUCCUUGCUGACUCACAGGAACCUCUGGUGCAUGACCUCUCCUGUUCAAAAAGGGGCAUUCAGGACAGAACUGACAGCCUUGAGGCCUUGUAUCAGGAACACACAAAUGCUUCAAGCAAAUGGUGGAAGUUCUCUUCUUCACCAAUCAUCCACCUUAUCAAACACUUUUUAACCUAUCCAAGGAAGAAUCUGUGGAUCCCACAUCUGGUGAAAGGUGAAAUAUUUAAGGGGAAUCUGUGGGGAAAUUUCUCCAGUCGGAGGGUAGUGAGAGUGUGGAAUGAGCUGCCAGUAGAGGUGGUAGAUGUGGGUUUAAAUGUAACACUUAAGAGAAGUUUAGAUAGGUAAAUAUAUAGGAGAGAUAAAGAGGGAUAUAGUCUGGGUGCAGGUAGAUGGGACUAGGCAGAAAAUUAGGCCGCUAUGGACAGCUAGGCCUAAGAUCCUUCUUCUGUGCUGUAGGCAUCUGUGAUUCUAUGACUCUUGGAGACAUUGGAGAGAAAGGGUUUGCUUUUCUUGAAACAGUGGUAGCCAUGAUAGAGAUAUACAAGAUUGUGGGAAAAACAGAGUGGACAGACUAAAUAAAACUUACUUUGUGAUUCAGAGGUUUGGAGAUCGACUGUCGAUUUGUUUUCAGUAAGAGAUACUAGUACAUACUGCCUAAAGUAUUGGUGGAGGAGAGUAGUUUCACAACGUUUCAGAAGCACCUCAACAAGCAGCUGAAUUAGCAAAGUAAGAAGGGUACAGAUAAGUGCAGAAUUAACAUAGAUGGGUACUUGAUGUUUGUCACGAAUAAAGGGGCCAUUUCUGUGUAAUAUGACUUCAUAGUCCCAUCAUCCUUGAUCCCAUUGGGCCUCUAAAGCUUAUUUACUGUUGUCCAAGGCACAAAUUAUUUGCAAACUUUGAAACUGUAAGACGUUCAUCCAGAUUCUGAAUAUUAUUGUUGUUCUGUCUGUACAACUACAUUUCAAUUAAAUUAAGUGCACACACGCAGGAGAUGGCUUUAACUGGAGUGUUCAUAUUGCAGUGAGAGAGAAAGAGAUCAACAUGCAUGU